GGUAGAGCAGCUCAUUCGUAAUGAGCAGGUCGGCGGUUCGAGUCCGCCAAAAGGCU
rnacentral:tRNA from 1 species